rnacentral:rRNA from 1 species
GGAUUAGAUACCCUGGUAGUCCACGCCGUAAACGAUGAUAACUAGCUGUCCGGGGACUUGGUCUUUGGGUGGCGCAGCUAACGCAUUAAGUUAUCCGCCUGGGGAGUACGGCCGCAAGGUUAAAACUCAAAUGAAUUGACGGGGGCCUGCACAAGCGGUGGAGCAUGUGGUUUAAUUCGAAGCAACGCGCAGAACCUUACCAGCGUUUGACAUGUCCGGACGACUGGCAGAGAUGCCUUUCUUCCCUUCGGGGACUGGAACACAGGUGCUGCAUGGCUGUCGUCAGCUCGUGCCG